UUGUUGUUGUUUUUGUAGUUAAUGUCAUGGACAUUGUUCCACAAUAUAAACCUACCAUACAAUCUAGGUUUUCGACUCUUAGAUACAUGAAAGUGCUGAAGCAACUCAAUCUAAUUCAGAGGUCUUAUAUAUAUCCAAGCAUGAUUUGGAUAAUCUAUUGAUGCUUCCUGUUCACCUCAUGGUACCUAUGAAUUUGCUGCAGUGGCUUGUUGGCCACACUUCACAUGGUGAAUCAAAGUUCUUUCAGCAUAAAUACAAGAUUAUCAACUUCAAUAAGGAUAUGGUUGACAAUGUCUUUGGUUUUCCACCAGGGGUCAAGCCAUUUGUUAUGGAGAGCAUCGAUCCUGAAAUCAUCAGUGAGGUUGAUGAGAUACGUGUCGAGUACCUCCUGGGCAAAGAGCAAAUAACAGAGACAAACUUAGAAUCUGUUUUGCUUGGUGCUAAUGACGAGGUGGUUUUUAUUAGAAGCUUCUUGUUGUUAUUCACCACCACAAUUCUAUGUCCUUCUACCUACAACUUUGUCAAUCCAAAAUACAUGUACUCUCUGAGAGACACUGACAUCAAGGAAGUUGUCAAUUUUUUACUUUGCACCACUGUGCCUAAACCAUCCGUGGAAUGAGAUGAAUACUUGGAAAGCCAAGGUAUUCAGAGACUUGAUCGAUUUCAACAUGCUUUUAUGGAUUGGCGGUUGCUUACCUUUGUGAGCGGUUGUGUACAUGGACUUCUUAGAUUUCAGUGUCAACGUUGGGCAAAUUGAUUAUAGACUGCCAAGAAUGUCACAUAUAAGGAAUGAAUAUUUUAUUUUUGUUUAAAGCUACAGAAACCGUUCAUGCCAAGAAUCAGUGCAAGCUUUUAUUUAUGGUCAAGGUAGAAAACCAU